rnacentral:rRNA from 1 species
GGGUUGUGAGGUUAAGCGACUAAGCGUACACGGUGGAUGCCCUGGCAGUCAGAGGCGAUGAAGGGCGUACUAAUCUGCGAUAAGCGCCGGUAAGGUGAUAUGAACCGUUAUAACCGGCGAUACCCGAAUGGGGAAACCCAGUGUGAUUCGUCACACUAUCAUUAACUGAAUCCAUAGGUUAAUGAGGCGAACCGGGGGAACUGAAACAUCUAAGUACCCCGAGGAAAAGAAAUCAACCGAGAUUCCCCCAGUAGCGGCGAGCGAACGGGGAGGAGCCCAGAGCCUGAAUCAGCAUGUGUGUUAGUGGAAGCGUCUGGAAAGGCGCGCGAUACAGGGUGACAGCCCCGUACACAAAAGCGCAUGUGCUGUGAGCUCGAUGAGUAGGGCGGGACACGUGGUAUCCUGUCUGAAUAUGGGGGGACCAUCCUCCAAGGCUAAAUACUCCUGACUGACCGAUAGUGAACCAGUACCGUGAGGGAAAGGCGAAAAGAACCCCGGCGAGGGGAGUGAAAAAGAACCUGAAACCGUGUACGUACAAGCAGUGGGAGCCCCACCACCAAAGCAUUUGCUGUACCGCGUUGACGGAGCGAAGCGACGUCAAACCGAUAAAACAGCAGUGUAAAGUGAGCCGCAGGGCGCUUUGCGCGACAGCGCAAAGGCAGGCGGUUUCGCGUAGCGAAAGCGAAUGCUUUGGGGUGGGGUGACUGCGUACCUUUUGUAUAAUGGGUCAGCGACUUAUAUUCUGUAGCAAGGUUAACCGAAUAGGGGAGCCGGAGGGAAACCGAGUCUUAAUUGGGCGUUAAGUUGCAGGGUAUAGACCCGAAACCCGGUGAUCUAGCCAUGGGCAGGUUGAAGGUUGGGUAACACUAACUGGAGGACCGAACCGACUAAUGUUGAAAAAUUAGCGGAUGACCUGUGGCUGGGGGUGAAAGGCCAAUCAAACCGGGAGAUAGCUGGUUCUCCCCGAAAGCUAUUUAGGUAGCGCCUCGUGAAUUCAUCUCCGGGGGUAGAGCACUGUUUCGGCUAGGGGGCCAUCCCGGCUUACCAACCCGAUGCAAACUGCGAAUACCGGAGAAUGUUAUCACGGGAGACACACGGCGGGUGCUAACGUCCGUCGUGAAGAGGGAAACAACCCAGACCGCCAGCUAAGGUCCCAAAGUCAUGGUUAAGUGGGAAACGAUGUGGGAAGGCCCAGACAGCCAGGAUGUUGGCUUAGAAGCAGCCAUCAUUUAAAGAAAGCGUAAUAGCUCACUGGUCGAGUCGGCCUGCGCGGAAGAUGUAACGGGGCUAAACCAUGCACCGAAGCUGCGGCAGCGACACUGUGUGUUGUUGGGUAGGGGAGCGUUCUGUAAGCCUGUGAAGGUGUGUCGUGAGGCAUGCUGGAGGUAUCAGAAGUGCGAAUGCUGACAUAAGUAACGAUAAAGCGGGUGAAAAGCCCGCUCGCCGGAAGACCAAGGGUUCCUGUCCAACGUUAAUCGGGGCAGGGUGAGUCGACCCCUAAGGCGAGGCCGAAAGGCGUAGUCGAUGGGAAACGGGUUAAUAUUCCCGUACUUGGUGUUACUGCGAAGGGGGGACGGAGAAGGCUAUGUUGGCCGGGCGACGGUUGUCCCGGUUUAAGCGUGUAGGUGUGUGUUCCAGGUAAAUCCGGUUCACUUUAACACUGAGGCGUGACGACGAGGCACUACGGUGCUGAAGCAACAAAUGCCCUGCUUCCAGGAAAAGCCUCUAAGCAUCAGGUAACAUCAAAUCGUACCCCAAACCGACACAGGUGGUCAGGUAGAGAAUACCAAGGCGCUUGAGAGAACUCGGGUGAAGGAACUAGGCAAAAUGGUGCCGUAACUUCGGGAGAAGGCACGCUGACACGUAGGUGAAGUGAUUUACUCAUGGAGCUGAAGUCAGUCGAAGAUACCAGCUGGCUGCAACUGUUUAUUAAAAACACAGCACUGUGCAAACACGAAAGUGGACGUAUACGGUGUGACGCCUGCCCGGUGCCGGAAGGUUAAUUGAUGGGGUCAGCGCAAGCGAAGCUCCUGAUCGAAGCCCCGGUAAACGGCGGCCGUAACUAUAACGGUCCUAAGGUAGCGAAAUUCCUUGUCGGGUAAGUUCCGACCUGCACGAAUGGCGUAAUGAUGGCCAGGCUGUCUCCACCCGAGACUCAGUGAAAUUGAACUCGCUGUGAAGAUGCAGUGUACCCGCGGCAAGACGGAAAGACCCCGUGAACCUUUACUAUAGCUUGACACUGAACAUUGAGCCUUGAUGUGUAGGAUAGGUGGGAGGCUUUGAAGUGUGGACGCCAGUCUGCAUGGAGCCGACCUUGAAAUACCACCCUUUAAUGUUUGAUGUUCUAACGUGGACCCGUUACCCGGGUUGCGGACAGUGUCUGGUGGGUAGUUUGACUGGGGCGGUCUCCUCCUAAAGAGUAACGGAGGAGCACGAAGGUUGGCUAAUCCUGGUCGGACAUCAGGAGGUUAGUGCAAUGGCAUAAGCCAGCUUGACUGCGAGCGUGACGGCGCGAGCAGGUGCGAAAGCAGGUCAUAGUGAUCCGGUGGUUCUGAAUGGAAGGGCCAUCGCUCAACGGAUAAAAGGUACUCCGGGGAUAACAGGCUGAUACCGCCCAAGAGUUCAUAUCGACGGCGGUGUUUGGCACCUCGAUGUCGGCUCAUCACAUCCUGGGGCUGAAGUAGGUCCCAAGGGUAUGGCUGUUCGCCAUUUAAAGUGGUACGCGAGCUGGGUUUAGAACGUCGUGAGACAGUUCGGUCCCUAUCUGCCGUGGGCGCUGGAGAACUGAGGGGGGCUGCUCCUAGUACGAGAGGACCGGAGUGGACGCAUCACUGGUGUUCGGGUUGUCAUGCCAAUGGCACUGCCCGGUAGCUAAAUGCGGAAGAGAUAAGUGCUGAAAGCAUCUAAGCACGAAACUUGCCCCGAG